AAACCGAGGCAGGCAUUGAUGUGACUUGCCCAAGACCACACACAGCAAGUCAGUGUGGCAGGGCUGGGAUAAGAGCACACUUCCUAUCUCCCAGCCUGAGGGUCAUUCCAGUGCACCACAAUGACUUUCAUAGUAAAAUGAUGGACUCCGUGGGGGCUAUGCAUAGUCAGAAUUCUGGAAAGCCAGCUGUAAACAAUGAAACCUAACGGUGCAGUCCUCAACCCAGCUGCUGUACUCAUAGGUCCUGAUCCUGCAGGUGCAAGAACAAACCGUGCUAAAAGGGAGACUAACUCGUUCAUGGAAUUGUUGAAUUUAAGACCAGAUCAUCUAGUUUGACCUCUUCUGUCACAGGCCACCACACCAUCCAGCCACCCACACACUAAACCCGCCAACUGAAAUUAGACCAAAGUAUUUACAAUGCUUGGAAGACUAAGGUGUUGUGUGAAUUAACUUACCUGAGAGGGGAAACUGAAUCUGACUAACACAGGUUAUGUCUAUGCUUCAAGCUGAGGAUGUGAUUCCUGGCUCAAGUAGACACACCCAUGCUAGCUCUGAUCAAGCUAGCACACUAAAAAUAGAACGUAGCUGCAGUGGUUCAAGCUACAGGAGGAGUGAGCUGAUUGAGUAUAGCUAAGACAGGGACAUACUCUGGUGGCUAGCCCCUCCCAUUGAGAGACUGCCAUCAUGAGAAAUCAGGAAGACAGGGCAGGGGAAAAGGUGAACAAAGAGUGGAUGGGUGGAACAAAGGCAGGGACCAGUGUCACUGAGGACUGGGGAAGGAUCUGAGAAACAGCUUGGCUUGAGGCUUGGUGAGAGAAGGGAAUGUCUGCAGGGAGACAGGGACUAACGUGAGGCAGUUGGGGAACCUGGAGUUAGAGAAGAAACUGAGGAGUGAACUGGAGGUAGACAGUGGAGCAGGGGAAGGAGUAAGAUGGGGUAGAGUGGGGAAGAAAUAAGAGUCUGGGAUCAGGAGAGACGAGCUGAGGGAUGGAGAAGUAGGAUGAGGCAGGGAAUUGGGAAGCUUGCAUGGGUAGUAAAUUGUCUGGAAUGGUGUGUGGAGAGAAUGAUUUGUAGGGAGAGAAUGGACUGUGGGAGAACUGAAUUUGUGUGCUGGUGAAGUGAUGGAGUGUAGGGUUGGCAUGGGUUUGUUUUCUGGAUACUGUGGUGUUGCAAGCUGGAUUGUGAUUGCAGUUGGGAGAGUAGCUGGUCCUGCAAGGUGGUUCAGUGAUGAGCAAGAAAAUAGAGUCAUGUAAAAACAUGCACUUGGAGAGAUAUUGAAAAGACUGGAACUAAAUGGUGGUCAACACAAUGGAAAAGUUUGGAGCCCCUGCUCUAACGAGUCUUUCAUAUUACCUCUCCUACCUAUAUGUGUUUACUGUUACCCGAUGUUUCCUGGUAGGAGCAAUAUAAACAGGAAUCCAUUUGCACUGUACAACCAAGACUUUAUUGGUCCUACUAACUUAUGAACAUAACAGUUGAUUGUGCUAUACUUACCUCGCUACUGUCUACAUACAGUCACAUAUCUCUACAUCUCUCUCUGUCUCUCGGGUAUACAACUCUUGUAAAGGCUCCCAAACUGUGAUCCGUAGAUAACUGUGCAUUCUAAUGUGCAGUGGAGCUCAGGGUGCAGCCAGAAGCAUUCAAGAUUACUCAAAACUGGUCUUUGGUGUAGCUCUACAAGCUCCAUUGUGAGUCAGACUGUAGCUCUGUACUGGGGCUCAUCAUGGAAGCUGGUCUCUGAGUUCUUCAUUAAGGGAUCGGUUCUGCAAAUUGCUGAGUGCCAUUAGUUCCCAUGGACUUCAGUGCGAGUUGAUGACACUCAGCACUCUGCAGGAGCAAGACCAAAGGGCCUAGCCCUGCCAGGUGCUAAAUGCCUCUUGUAGGUUGCCUAGUGCCCUCAAUUUCCUUGGGAACAGAAGACAUAUAGACUCAUAGACUUUAAGGCCUGAAGGAACCAUCAUGAUUAUCUAGUCUGACCUCCUGCACAUUGUAAA